rnacentral:rRNA from 1 species
UACGUAGGGGCAAGCGUUAUCCGGAAUUAUUGGGCGUAAAGAGUGCGUAGGUGGUUACCUAAGCGCAAGGUUUAAUCUUGAGGCUUAACCUCAUUCUGCCUUGCGAACUGGGCUACUUGAGUGCUGGAGGGGAAAGCGGAAUUCCCAGUGUAGCGGUGAAAUGCGUAGAUAUUGGGAAGAACACCGGAGGCGAAGGCGGCUUUCUGGACAGUAACUGACACUGAGGCACGAAAGCGUGGGGAGCAAACAGGAUUAGAUACCCUGGUAGUCCCUGAG